UACUUCGUCCUUAAACGAAGACAGUUAGACCCGCCUUGCACGCGGGAGACCCGGGUUCGAUUCCCGGCGAGGUCA
rnacentral:tRNA from 1 species